rnacentral:tRNA from 1 species
GCGAGAGUGGCGGAACCGGCAGACGCGCUGGACUCAAAAUCCAGUGGACUUUAAAUCCGUGUGGGUUCGACUCCCACCUUUCGCA